rnacentral:rRNA from 1 species
GGGAUGGUUGAGUAUCUCGCCUCUCAGUUCUGCCUGUAUUCUACCCUUGUUUGUCAUAUACUAUUAUUUCCUCGGCAGGCUUGCCUGCCGAGUGAAACCAUUUAUAACCUUUUUAAUUUUCAAUCAGCGUCUGAAAAAAUUAAUAAUUACAACCUUCAACAACGGAUCUCUUGGUUCUGGCAUCGAUGAAGAACGCAGCGAAAUGCGAUAAGUAGUGUGAAUUGCAGAAUUCAGUGAAUCAUCGAAUCUUUGAACGCACAUUGCGCCCCUUGGUAUUCCAUGGGGCAUGCCUGUUCGAGCGUCGUUUGUACCUUCAAGCUUUGCUUGGUGUUGGGUGUUUGUCCCGAGGGACUCGCCUUAAAGUAAUUGGCAGCCAGUGUUUGGUUUUGAAGCGCAGCACAAGUCGCGAUUCAAGGCUACACGCCCGCUUCCACAAGCCUUUUUUCACUUUUGACCUCGGAUCAGGUAGGGAUACCCGCUGAACUUAAGCAUAUCAA